rnacentral:rRNA from 1 species
AUGCAGGAGAACUGGAGAAUAGUUGACUUCUUCUCGCACCACCCGGAGAGUCUGCACAUGUUCACCUUCCUCUUUGAUGAUGUUGGCAUCCCACUCAACUACAGGCACAUGGACGGUUUUGGUGUCAACACCUACACCUUGAUCAGCAGGGAUGGAAAGGCUCACCUUGUUAAGUUCCAUUGGAAGCCUACAUGUGGUGUCAAGUGCCUCUUAGAUGAUGAAGCCGUUACUGUUGGAGGCACCUGCCACACCCAUGCCACAAAGGACUUGACUGAUGCUAUUGCAGCUGGGAAUUACCCAGAAUGGAAGCUCUUCAUUCAGACCAUUGAUGCUGAUCAUGAGGAUAGAUUUGACUUUGACCCUCUUGAUGUCACCAAGACCUGGCCAGAGGAUAUCAUCCCACUGCAACCAGUUGGACGGAUGGUCCUGAACAAGAACAUCGAUAAUUUCUUCGCAGAAAACGAACAGCUUGCUUUCUGCCCAGCAGUCACUGUCCCUGGAAUCCACUACUCUGAUGAUAAGCUGCUCCAGACAAGGAUUUUUCCUAUGCUGAUACCCAAAGGCACCGUCUCGGUGAACUACUUCCCUUCAAGGUUUGAUUCUACUCGUCAUGCUGAACAGUACCCUAUUCCUCCUCGUGUUCUGUCUGGCUGCCGGGAAAAGAAAGAGAACAAUUUCAAGCAGGCUGGCGAGAGAUACCGUUCCUUCGACCCUGCCAGGCAAGACCGUUUCCUCCAGCGGUGGGUUGAUGCGCUCACUGAUGCUCGCGUAACCCAUGAAAUCCAGGGCAUCUGGGUGUCAUACUGGUCACAGUGUGACGCGUCCCUCGGGCAGAAGCUGGCGUCGCGGCUCAAGAUGAAGCCGAACAUGUAG